rnacentral:rRNA from 1 species
CGCUGGCGGCGUGCCUAAUACAUGCAAGUCGAACGAGUUCUGAUUAUUGAAAGGUGCUUGCAUCUUGAUUUAAUUUUGAACGAGUGGCGGACGGGUGAGUAACACGUGGGUAACCUGCCCUUAAGUGGGGGAUAACAUUUGGAAACAGAUGCUAAUACCGCAUAAAUCCAAGAACCGCAUGGUUCUUGGCUGAAAGAUGGCGUAAGCUAUCGCUUUUGGAUGGACCCGCGGCGUAUUAGCUAGUUGGUGAGGUAACGGCUCACCAAGGCAAUGAUACGUAGCCGAACUGAGAGGUUGAUCGGCCACAUUGGGACUGAGACACGGCCCAAACUCCUACGGGAGGCAGCAGUAGGGAAUCUUCCACAAUGGACGCAAGUCUGAUGGAGCAACGCCGCGUGAGUGAAGAAGGCUUUCGGGUCGUAAAACUCUGUUGUUGGAGAAGAAUGGUCGGCAGAGUAACUGUUGUCGGCGUGACGGUAUCCAACCAGAAAGCCACGGCUAACUACGUGCCAGCAGCCGCGGUAAUACGUAGGUGGCAAGCGUUAUCCGGAUUUAUUGGGCGUAAAGCGAGCGCAGGCGGUUUUUUAAGUCUGAUGUGAAAGCCCUCGGCUUAACCGAGGAAGUGCAUCGGAAACUGGGAAACUUGAGUGCAGAAGAGGACAGUGGAACUCCAUGUGUAGCGGUGAAAUGCGUAGAUAUAUGGAAGAACACCAGUGGCGAAGGCGGCUGUCUGGUCUGUAACUGACGCUGAGGCUCGAAAGCAUGGGUAGCGAACAGGAUUAGAUACCCUGGUAGUCCAUGCCGUAAACGAUGAAUGCUAGGUGUUGGAGGGUUUCCGCCCUUCAGUGCCGCAGCUAACGCAUUAAGCAUUCCGCCUGGGGAGUACGACCGCAAGGUUGAAACUCAAAGGAAUUGACGGGGGCCCGCACAAGCGGUGGAGCAUGUGGUUUAAUUCGAAGCAACGCGAAGAACCUUACCAGGUCUUGACAUCUUUUGAUCACCUGAGAGAUCAGGUUUCCCCUUCGGGGGCAAAAUGACAGGUGGUGCAUGGUUGUCGUCAGCUCGUGUCGUGAGAUGUUGGGUUAAGUCCCGCAACGAGCGCAACCCUUAUGACUAGUUGCCAGCAUUUAGUUGGGCACUCUAGUAAGACUGCCGGUGACAAACCGGAGGAAGGUGGGGAUGACGUCAAAUCAUCAUGCCCCUUAUGACCUGGGCUACACACGUGCUACAAUGGAUGGUACAACGAGUUGCGAGACCGCGAGGUCAAGCUAAUCUCUUAAAGCCAUUCUCAGUUCGGACUGUAGGCUGCAACUCGCCUACACGAAGUCGGAAUCGCUAGUAAUCGCGGAUCAGCACGCCGCGGUGAAUACGUUCCCGGGCCUUGUACACACCGCCCGUCACACCAUGAGAGUUUGUAACACCCGAAGCCGGUGAAGUAACCCUUUUAGGGAGCGAGCCGUCUAAGGUGGGACAC